rnacentral:miRNA from 1 species
AUUAGAUUGGGGCAAAAGUAAUUGCGGUUCUUGCGAUUAAAAGUAAUGGGAAAAACUGCAAUUACUUUUGCGCCAACCUAAU